AGUGGCGGACGGGUGAGUAACGCGUAAGAAUCUAACUUCAGGACGGGGACAACAGUUGGAAACGACUGCUAAUACCCGAUGUGCCGGGAGGUGAAACCUAAUUGGCCUGAAGAAGAGCUUGCGUCUGAUUAGCUAGUUGGUGGGGUAAAGGCCUACCAAGGCGACGAUCAGUAGCUGGUCUGAGAGGAUGAGCAGCCACACUGGGACUGAGACACGGCCCAGACUCCUACGGGAGGCAGCAGUGGGGAAUUUUCCGCAAUGGGCGAAAGCCUGACGGAGCAACGCCGCGUGAGGGAGGAAGGUCUUUGGAUUGUAAACCUCUUUUCUCAAGGAAGAAGUUCUGACGGUACUUGAGGAAUCAGCCUCGGCUAACUCCGUGCCAGCAGCCGCGGUAAUACGGGGGAGGCAAGCGUUAUCCGGAAUUAUUGGGCGUAAAGCGUCCGCAGGUGGUCAGCCAAGUCUGCCGUCAAAUCAGGUUGCUUAACGACCUAAAGGCGGUGGAUACUGGCAGACUAGAGAGCAGUAGGGGUAGCAGGAAUUCCCAGUGUAGCGGUGAAAUGCGUAGAGAUUGGGAAGAACAUCGGUGGCGAAAGCGUGCUACUGGGCUGUAUCUGACACUCAGGGACGAAAGCUAGGGGAGCGAAAGGGAUUAGAUACCCCUGUAGUCCUAGCCGUAAACGAUGGAUACUAGGCGUGGCUU
rnacentral:rRNA from 1 species